rnacentral:rRNA from 1 species
UACGGGGGGGGCAAGCGUUGUUCGGAAUUACUGGGCGUAAAGGGCUCGUAGGUGGCCAACUAAGUCAUACGUGAAAUCCCUCAGCUUAACUGGGGAACUGCGUCUGAUACUGGAUGGCUUGAGUUUGGGAGAGGGAUGCGGAAUUCCAGGUGUAGCGGUGAAAUGCGUAGAUAUCUGGAGGAACACCGGUGGCAAAGGCGGCGUCCUGGACCAACACUGACACUGAUGAGCGAAAGCCAGGGGAGCAAACGGG